AUGUUCCUGUCUGUCUGUCUGUCUGUGUUCCUGUCUGUCUUUCUACGUACCUGUCUGUCUGUCUAUGUACCUGCCUGUCUGUCUAUGUUUCUGUCUGUCUGUCUGUCUGUCUGUCUGUCUGUCUCUCUGUCUGUCUAUGUUCCUGUCUGUCUGUCUGUCUAUGUUCCUGUCUGUCUGUCUGUCUGUGUUCCUGUCUGUCUGUCUGUCUGUCUGUCUGUCUGUCUGUCUGUCUGUCUGUGUUCCUGUCUGUCUGUCUGUCUGUCUGUCUAUGUUCCUGUCUGUCUGUCUAUGUUCCUGUCUGUCUAUGUUCCUGUCUGUCUGUCUGUCUGUCUGUCUGUCUGUCUGUGUCUAUGUUCCUGUCUGUCUGUCUGUCUGUCUGUGUUCCUGUCUGUCUUUCUAUGUACCUGUCUGUCUGUCUAUGUACCUGUCUGUCUGUCUAUGUACCUGCCUGUCUGUCUAUGUUUCUGUCUAUGUUCCUGUCUGUCUGUCUGUCUGUCUAUGUUUUUGUCUGUCUGUCUGUCUGUCGGCCUGUGUCUGUCUGUCUGUGUGUCUGUCUGUCUGUGUUCCUGUCUGUCUGUCUGUCUGUCUGUCUGUCUGUCUGUCUGUCUGUCUAUGUUCCUGUCUGUCUGUCUGUCUGUCUGUCUGUCUAUGUUCCUGUCUGUCUGUCUGUCUGUCUGUCUGUCUGUCUGUCUGUGUCUGUCUGUCUGUCUGUCUGUCUGUCUGUCUGUGUUUCUGUCUGUCUGUGUUCCUGUCUGUCUGUCUGUCUGUCUGUCUGUUCUGUCUGUCUGUCUGUCUGUCUGUCUGUCUGUCUGUCUGUGUUCCUGUCUGUCUGUCUGUCUGUCUGUCUGUGUUCCUGUCUGUCUAUGUUACUGUCUGUCUGUCUGUGUUGCUGUCUAUCUGUCUGAUCUGUUGCUGUCUGUCUGUCUGAUAUGUUGCUGUCUGUCUGUCUGUCUAUGUUCCUACCUGUCUGUCUAUGUUGCUUUCUGUCUGUCUGUGUGUGUUUUGUCUGUCUGUGUUUUUGUCUGUUUGUGUGUUUUUGUCUGUCUUUGUGUUUUUGUCUGCCUGUCUGUGUGUCUGUCUGUCUGUCUGUCUGUCUGUCUGUCUGUCUGUCUGUCUGUCUGUCUGUCUGUCUGUCUGUCUGUCUGUCUGUCUGUGUUUGUCUGUCUGUGUGUGUGUUUCUGUGUUUCUGUCUGUGUGUCUGUGUUUCUUUCUGUGUUUCNNNNNNNNNNNNNNNNNNNNAGGUCCAGAGUAUGGCUGUGGUUAUGGGUGGGCCCAGUAGAAAGCCCCUUGGUAAUAACCAGGUCCAGAGUAUGGCUGUGGUUAUGGGUGGGCCCAGUAGAUUAA
rnacentral:lncRNA from 8 species